rnacentral:rRNA from 14 species
GACGAACGCUGGCGGCGUGCCUAAUACAUGCAAGUCGAGCGGACAGAAGGGAGCUUGCUCCCGGAUGUUAGCGGCGGACGGGUGAGUAACACGUGGGUAACCUGCCUGUAAGACUGGGAUAACUCCGGGAAACCGGAGCUAAUACCGGAUAGUUCCUUGAACCGCAUGGUUCAAGGAUGAAAGACGGUUUCGGCUGUCACUUACAGAUGGACCCGCGGCGCAUUAGCUAGUUGGUGGGGUAAUGGCUCACCAAGGCGACGAUGCGUAGCCGACCUGAGAGGGUGAUCGGCCACACUGGGACUGAGACACGGCCCAGACUCCUACGGGAGGCAGCAGUAGGGAAUCUUCCGCAAUGGACGAAAGUCUGACGGAGCAACGCCGCGUGAGUGAUGAAGGUUUUCGGAUCGUAAAGCUCUGUUGUUAGGGAAGAACAAGUGCGAGAGUAACUGCUCGCACCUUGACGGUACCUAACCAGAAAGCCACGGCUAACUACGUGCCAGCAGCCGCGGUAAUACGUAGGUGGCAAGCGUUGUCCGGAAUUAUUGGGCGUAAAGGGCUCGCAGGCGGUUUCUUAAGUCUGAUGUGAAAGCCCCCGGCUCAACCGGGGAGGGUCAUUGGAAACUGGGAAACUUGAGUGCAGAAGAGGAGAGUGGAAUUCCACGUGUAGCGGUGAAAUGCGUAGAGAUGUGGAGGAACACCAGUGGCGAAGGCGACUCUCUGGUCUGUAACUGACGCUGAGGAGCGAAAGCGUGGGGAGCGAACAGGAUUAGAUACCCUGGUAGUCCACGCCGUAAACGAUGAGUGCUAAGUGGUAGGGGGGUUYCCGCCCCUUAGUGCUGCAGCUAAUGGCAUUAUGCACUCCGGCCUGGGGGAG